UACGAAGGGGGCUAGCGUUGUUCGGAAUUACUGGGCAUAAAGCGCACGUAGGCGGAUCGAUCAGUCAGGGGUGAAAUCCCAGGGCUCAACCCUGGAACUGCCUUUGAUACUGUCGAUCUGGAGUAUGGAAGAGGUGAGUGGAAUUCCGAGUGUAGAGGUGAAAUUCGUAGAUAUUCGGAGGAACACCAGUGGCGAAGGCGGCUCACUGGUCCAUUACUGACGCUGAGGUGCGAAAGCGCGGGGAGCGAACGGG
rnacentral:rRNA from 1 species